GGCACUGUGGCAUAGUAGGUUAAAGCCCUGGCCUGAAGCGCCGGCAUCCCAUGUGGUUCAACCCAGCUGGGUUCAAGACCCAGCUGCUCCA
rnacentral:tRNA from 1 species